rnacentral:lncRNA from 1 species
CUGUGACCUAUGCUGCAGUUCUUGCAGCAACACUGGAUUCUUAACCCACUGAGCAAGGCCAGGGACUGAAUCCCAUCCUCACAGAGACUGUGUCAGGACUUUAACCUGCUGAGCCACAACAGGAAAUCUAAUCUCUGAGUUCUAAAGCUUCAAAAGUAGCCUUAAAGUAAGUAAAAUAGUCCUCUAAAUUUUGCCACUUAAUGAUCUUACUUUUUGGGUAAGUAAUUUGUGUAAAGACCAAAGUUGCAGUCAUGGGAUUAGACUAGUUCAGGGUUAUCUACAUGCCUUAGUGGGUCGUUAAUAAAGAAGGCCACUGCAUAAAACACAGCUGUGUCAUUCCAAGUUAAUGAGCCUUCUCUGUGCCUGGUCUGUCCAUGCACUACUGUGUAGAUAGGAGUUUCUUAUCAGCCUACACAUUUUGCAUCAACAUAUCAGGGUGUUCUAUUUGGGUCUGGGAGCUCAGAUAUAAAGAAUAUUUAUCACGCUAAGAUUAGUAAGAGUUACCAUAUGCACAGAGUGGCAGAUUCUUGCACACAGAGAUGUGUUUGACACUGCGUGCUAUCUUUCAGCACUAUACAGAAUGAGCACCCUAGUUGGAAACUAUUUUUCUCUUCACUGAACAUAGUAGUGCUUUAUCUGCUCUUCACCAGUAGCAGGGUUUUAUAAAAUAUCUCUUCUCUCCUCUAAUAAACCGCAAGUGGUUUGGGGGCCAUUUCUGGAUGCCUUGCAAAACGUAGGUGCUCCAUAAAUGGAAGAGUAUCGGAGGCUCAUAUAACAUUUGGUUGACAUGGGCCACUGCAUGUUUCUUCAGACCUGGAGGUGGAUUUUCUUGCUCUGUUUCCAGAAUUGGACUAUUGGGUCAUAGUCUAGAGAGUUGCUCACUGAGCCAAGCUGGGAUUAAGCCUGGAACACUGGCCCAACUGGUUAGGUGCGCUAAUGAAACACACUUGCCUUAAAGAUCACUUAAACAUAUGAACAAAAGUCAGGGAGGAAGACCUUUUUUCCUACCCUUCUAGGUUCUCCUGGCUGGUCUACGAAUUAAAUUAGACAAUUAACAUGAGAUAAUAAAACAAAAGUUUAAUAAUAUGUAAACAUGGGAGAGACCCAGAAAAACUAACUUGCCAAAAUGGCCAAAACCCUCAUUUUAAAUGUCGUCUUCAACUAAGGUCAGAACGGAUGUUGUGGGUAGUAGUGUGGAACUUCAGAGGGGAGGAAAGCAACUCACAUGGAGAUGGAAAAGCAAAUGUUUGGUAAACAAAUGUUGGUUGGGUCGUGCGGAGACAAUGGGAUACAGUGUGGACUCUGAUCUCUAGGCCUACAUUUCUCCCACCACACUCAGCCCAUAUUCUUUGCUGAUAACCUCUGGCGAUGGCUCUAUUCCCAAAACAGGUCCUCUAUCUAGAUUCUUUUAGGCAGUUAGAGGGAAGGUCAAAGUAUCCUCCUGAGUCUUUUGGGCCUUGCUUGGUUUUUGCUCAAAAUAAUUUGUAUGCCAAAGAGACAUCCUGGGGUGGCAAAUUUUGCUCCCCUACAUAGAAGUACCCCAGAGGAAAGGAGCAUGAUACUGGAGAGGCAGCGAAUCCUAACAAUUCCACACCUGCCAUGGAUGCUGGUACCCUGAUUGGCUCAGGGUUCUCAUGGCAACCUUCACUUGCUACCUGCUGUCACUCUUGAGAUGCUUGGCUGGUUGCCACCUUUCUUCAGCUUGCUAGGCUUAGGAAGAACCUGAAAGGAAGCGGGGAUGGGGUGAUGCAUUAUAGCAGGAAUAAUGACUAUUCCCAAGCAAAAAUUAGUUUUAAAUGAUCAAAUGGCUAUUUACCUGCACUUUUAUACUUGUAAUGAGCACUUCUCAAUUAUCUUAAAAGAAAUAUGUCAGAACGUUCAAGAAAUAUUCUAGAUCAUUUCUAGAAAGAGCUAUAAUUUUCAUUUAAAAAAAUUCUUGUAUAUAUAUUUGCUCUUAGAUUCUGCAAGCUCAUACUCCUAAAUAUGAAAACAUAUUUAAUUUCUAACUCAAUGAGAAGAAAAAGACAUCAAUAUUAACUUUUGUUUAAAUGUGUUAUGCAAUUCAAUAUGUGCAUGUGUUUGUAAGAAAAUCAUGGCUUUAAAAUUCUAUAAAUAGAAAACAUCUUUAUAUUUUAUAACUGAUCAUGCUCACAUAUAAAUCAUUGAUUUCUCUAUUCCUAUACAUAGACUUGUUCUUAAACCUUUCAUUCUAACAGCUUUCUAACUGAGUUUGUUGACAAAUGACUAACCAUAAAAUAGAUAAUUAAGAUAUUAAAAAAUAAGCAAAACAAACCAGCAAAAAAAUAAAAUAAAGCUCCCAAAGCAAACAGCAUAUUUUAGAGGGAAAAUAAUUAAAGUGCUUAAAAGAAAGCUCUAUAAAUGUUAAGAAGAUAUAUUUUUAAAACCCCACAGAAAACAAAAUGAUUUCAUAACCACAUUAAGAGAACAAUCAUUUGAGUAUAUUUACUCCAAUGUAAACAAAUAGAGGAAAAAAGGAGAGAGGCUGAAAAUAGCCAGGCUUACACAGAAAGUUAAACCUUAAAGAGUUCCCAUUGUGGCUCAGUGGUUAAAGAGCUUGACUAGUACCCAUGAGGACACAGGUUCCAUGCCUGGCCUCGCUCAGUGGGUUGAGGAUCCAGCAUUGCCAUAAACUGUGAGCUGUGGUGAAGGUCGCAGACGUGGCUUGGAUCCUGCAUUGCUGUGCUGUAGUGUAGGCUGGUGGCUACGGCUCUGAUUAGACCCCUAGCCUGGGAACCUCCAUAUGCCAUGGGAACAGCCCUAAAAAGACAAAAAAGUCAAAAAAAAAAAAAAAAAGAAGAAAAAAAGAAAGUUAAACCUUAAAACGGCAUGAGGCUAGAUUUGAAAUCAGAUGCUCUGGAUGCUACUACGUUCAGGUACUCAGAUCCAAACAACUUGGUACUGUGCUUCAAAUUUUUGUUUCAAAAAAUAUUAACAAGUAAUAAUAAAUUAUAUGAUUGAACUCCAUUCCAUUCUUUGUUCAAAAUUCUGUCAUACACCGAAGAGCUCAGGCUGGGCCUCUGGUUUUCCGCUGCUCCAGGUAAUAUGAUUACGAUGGACCCCAGUGCUCUCCACCUAUCAAUGUCAAUCUGCCUGGACUGUUCCACGACAUCUUUUAUCAGUGAGAGCUGCCUGGUCUUUCAUGCCAGAGCCUUACAGGACCAAAGGUUUUAUUACAUUAAUAUGUUUCUGACUAAUUCUACCUUAUCUACUUAUUCACCUUACCUUUAAAACCCAAUUAAAAUCUAAUUUAUCUCAUCUUUGGAUUCUGAACACUAUUUGGCAAUGAAUCUAACAGCCCUGUAGUAACUACAUUACUCCACAUUGUGCCUUAAGGUGUUCUAGAUAAUACUUUUAAAAAAAUUGGCAAUUGCCAUUUAAAGCUACAGUGAUGUCUUUGAGGCUGCCUCCAUCUCAUUUGAAGAACAAAUGCUUUGUCCUUAUGCAAAAGGUACAUAGUAUGAUUUUAUACCUGUGGUUUUAGUUAUAAUUUAUGUGCAUAAAUGUGAAUAGAUCAUUGCUUUUCUUAAAUUUUUAUUCACUUUUUAAAAAUGUCAGAUAAUAAAGUCUUCUGACAGCUACAAAUUCCUCCAACACAUACACACAUCACAUACACACACGUACACACACACAGCAAUGUUUUAUAAUCUUCCAAAUUGUGGAUAUACUCAUACGUAUAAAUGUUACACUGAGAAAUCUCUUUAUUUAGAAUGUCAGUCCAAAAAAAUCCAUGCUACUGUGUUUCUGAUACUCCAUUUUCUUAAGCUGUGAAAAAAAGUCAUGCAAUGUUGAUACUAAUUCUGUUCUUUAAAAUCCAACUCAAAAAUGUAUACUUUUAUUCAUUUCAUUACACAUGUAUAAAAACAGAGGGCUCCUGGAGUUCCAUGGUGGCUCAGUGGGUUAAAGAUCUGGCAUUGUCAACUGCUGUGGCUCAGGUUCAGUCCCUGGCCCAGGGAACUUCCACAUGCCAUGGGCAUAGCCAAAAAAGAACAAUUAAAGGUGUUUACAGCAAAAUAAAUGAUAUAUACAAGCGACUAUACACAGUGAAAUAGAUGAUAUGUAGACAUAGAGAUAUACAGAUAGUGAAUAUAGGCAGUGACUAACACAGCAAAAUAGAUGAUAUAUAUUCGUGAAUACACACAGUGAAAUAGAUGAGAUAUAUUCGUGAAUACACACAGUGAAAUAGAUGAUAUAUAUAUAUAUAAUACAUAUAGUGAAUACACAAAGCGACUAACAGUGAAAUAAAUGGCAGUGAGAAGAUCCCCCUCCCUUUAUUUCCCAGCUCCUUCUUGAGGGUCAAUCACUAUUCCAGGGAUUUUCACCCACAUUGAUCUUAUUUAACACGAGAAUCCUGGGAAGUAGGUAAUAGAGCAAUAAAAUCUGAGUUCAAAACAUGUGAAAAUAUGACCUAAAAACAGAAUAAAAACACUGGAGUGUGCUGAAGGUCUUAUGACUUACAAUUCCGCCUGGUUCUAGGCUUUUGGAAUGAAGGACUGCCCACAGAAGAAAAUGCAAGGAACUUUUCCAUCAGUUCCCCAAAGGUGAUCUCAGGUAGAACCUGGAUGGGUCAUGAAGUACCUCUGAAUCACUCAGAGGAAAAUGCAGCCCCCCCCCUUUUUUUUUGGUAUAAUGAUUUUUAUUUUUUUCCAUCAUAGAUGGUUUACAGUGUUCUGUUAAUUUCCUACUGUACAGCAUGAUGACCCAGUAGCACAUACAUGUAUACAUUUUUUUCUCACAUUAUCAUGCUCCAUAAUAAGUGACUAGACAUAGUUCCCAGUGCUACACAGCAGAAAUAAAAGCAAAAAUAAACCAACGGGACCUAAUCAAACUGACAAGCUUUUGCAAAGGAAACCAAAAAGAAAACAAAAAGACAACUUACAGAGUGGGAGAAAAUAGUUUCAAGUGAUGCAACUGAUAAGGGCUUAAUCUCUAAAAUAUACAAACAAUUUAUACGAUUCAACUGCAGUUCC